CCUACGGGUGGCAGCAGUGAGGAAUAUUGGUCAAUGGACGCGAGUCUGAACCAGCCAAGUAGCGUGAAGGAUGACUGCCCUAUGGGUUGUAAACUUCUUUAUAUAGGAAUAAAAUGUUCCCCGUGUGGUAUUUUUUAUUUACCAUAUUAAUCAUGAUCGGCUAACUCCGUUCCAGCAUCCGCGGUAAUACGGAGGAUCCGAGAGUUAGCCGGAUUUAUUGGGGUUAAAGGGAGAGUAGGUGGAUUGUUAAGUCAGUUGUGAAAGUUUGCUGCUCAACCGUAAAAUUGCAGUUGAAACUGGCAGUCUUGAGUACAGUAGAGGUGGGCGGAAUUCGUGGUGUAGCGGUGAAAUGCUUAGAUAUCACGAAGAACUCCGAUUGCGAAGGCAGCUCACUGGACUGCAACUGACACUGAGGCUCGAAAGUGUGGGUAUCAAACAGGAUUAGAUACCCGAGUAGUC
rnacentral:rRNA from 1 species